rnacentral:rRNA from 1 species
AUACGGAGGAUCCGAGCGUUAUCCGGAUUUAUUGGGUUUAAAGGGUGCGCGGGCGGCCAUUUAAGUCAGCGGUUAAAUCGUGGGGCUCAACCCCAUUCUGCCGUUGAUACUGGGUGGCUUGAUUGCGGUCGAGGUUGGCGGAAUUCGUUGUGUAGCGGUGAAAUGCAUAGAUAUGACGAAGAACACCGAUUGCGUAGGCAGCUGACCAGAUCGCAAAUGACGCUCAUGCACGAAAGUGCGGGGAUCGAACAGGAUUAGAUACCCUGGUAGUCCGCACAGUAAACGAUGAAUACUUGUUUUCGGCGAUAUAAUGUCGGAGGCAAAGCGAAAGCGAUAAGUAUUCCACCUGGGGAGUACGCCGGCAACGGUGAAACUCAAAGGAAUUGACGGGG